rnacentral:piRNA from 1 species
CAAUUACCAGGAACAGAUGCCGAGUGGGAC